AUGAUUUAUAAGAGGAAUCUGCUGCUCAACUGUCCGUCAAUGACACAUUUUUGGUCCAAAGAUUCUGUUGUUGAAGGCAGGAAAUCAACCGAUCUGGUUCCAGUUUGGUCGGACACAGCCGGCCCACAGACCAGAGACAACAACUGGAGCAAUGCCUGAUGGGUUGGAAAGUGUGCAGCUCAACACCAACAGUAGAUGAACCCUUACACUGCUUCCAGAGAAAUAUUACAAUUUGCUCGACACUUGAGCAGCUGAUAAAAGGGUUAACGUCUCCGGAGAGUCCAUGUCAAUGAGAGCUGCGUCUCUUUACUCUGAAAGGAAACUACAGAGAAGGCACAGAGAGGAGCAAGAGUCACAAAAACUCUCCACCAUAAAGCGAACACAGAGGUAUCACCUAGUGCAACAAUUACUCUCAUUAUCAGGUAAUUACUUUAUGUCCAUCGGAGUUUCUCAGAGCCCAAAGUGGCGUCUUAAAAUGUGUUUUUUAUCAAAGCAACAGUCCAAAAAUGUUCAGUUUACAUGUAGAAACCAGCAAAUAUUCACAUUAGAGAAGCUGUAACCAGAACAUUUUGACUUUUUUGAACAUUUAGCCAGAAUUUAAUUACUUGAGUACGCUGUUAUUGUUGGGUCAGACAAAGUUAAACUUCAUUAUAUUUAUAGUUUGAAGCUGAAACCACAGAAGUUUCAGUCUCUUUGAUUGAGGAAUGUAAAAUAAAUCUUUAGUGUCAAACAGUGAAUCUGUUCUGAUCUAAAUAAUAAUAAUAAUUAUAAUAGUUGCUGAUUUAUUCUCUUUUAUAAUGUAAAUUAAAUCAUUUUGGUUUAGUAGUUGUAGAUGUCACUUUAGGAAACUACAAUGGAGUAUUUUUACACCAUAAUAUUGGUACCAAUUUAUUAGUUUAAAGGAUCUGACCUCUUCUUCCACUCAUUAAUGAAAAUAAUGGUUAGUUAAAGCUAUCAGUUAUAAAUACAACCAUCCUCAGUAGAUUUAAUGAUCAACCAGUUAACUAACCAAUAAUUAAUCUAUGACCAACACAGACACCUCAGCUUCAAUAUCCUCCACACUCUUAAAAUAAAAGAUAAUUAAACGUACCGUUUGCGUUCAGAUGUCUCGUCUUUGUCCUCUUUAAUGAGUAAAAACACAUUUUAGACAAACAGGAACUUCCCUGAGAGCACACCUGCCUGUAACUGUGGGAGUGUUUGACCUGGUGACUCCCCCGGGCGGUGAUUAAAAGAACCCUUAUAGAUAAAGUUUAUCGUUUUUUUUUUUUCAUUUCUCCCAAUUGAAAAUACAAGUUAUAUGUUUGGGACUCACUUCUAUGGAAAAGAAAAGUCAUUAUGAUGAGAAAGUGCAAAAUAAAGACCUGUAAUUUCAUAAUCCAAGCUCUGAUUGAUCCCCUAUGUGGUGUGGAAGUGGACAAGGUCUUCCUCUACAUGUCUGAACAAACAGAAUGUGAAUAUCUUGAUGCAUUGAGGAAAUACAGGACCACAAACACAGACAUACAACAGGAGGAAAUAUCAAAUAUGAGGCUCUAUGAUGAAUGUAUUAAUUUACUUUAAGGUAGCUUUGGCUGGGAUUGUCCCACAAACACCAACCAGGGUUAGUUAGAAAGGUCUGAUUGAGCUGAAUCCAGCAGUAUAUGAUAUGUGACUGUAGCAUCAACAUUAAACUGCCACUUUAAUACGAGAGAAACUGUUAUCAGAUGUUCUGGAUGCAACAAGAAAUAAUUUGGCAAAAUACGCUUUUAAAGUAUAUUUGAG
ensembl:lncRNA